rnacentral:lncRNA from 1 species
UGACUGACUAGUAGAUAAAAAAGGGUGUACACAGAGCUAAUAAAAAAAGUUCUAAAUCAUUCCUUUCUUAAGAAGCUAAGUAAUUCAAAACUUUAGAAUAAGUUUUAAAAAAAAAGCUUAGUGGGUUAUUUAUUAUUCAAAGUAUUGUUUAACAGGGUUAGACUACCAGAAAAAGAAAGGAAAACCACUUACAUACUUUCUGUUCAACUCCAGAUCACAAAGUUCCAGACAAAUAGCAAAUCAUUCCUUAUUAAAAGGC